GACGAACGCUGGCGGCGUGCUUAACACAUGCAAGUCGAACGGAAAGGCCCUGCUUUUGUUGGGUGCUCGAGUGGCGAACGGGUGAGUAACACGUGAGUAACCUGCCCUUGACUUUGGGAUAACUUCAGGAAACUGGGGCUAAUAUCGGAUAGGAGCUCCUGCUGCAUGGUGGGGGUUGGAAAGUUUCGGCGGUUGGGGAUGGACUCGCGGCUUAUCAGCUUGUUGGUGGGGUAGUGGCUUACCAAGGCUUUGACGGGUAGCCGGCCUGAGAGGGUGACCGGCCACAUUGGGACUGAGAUACGGCCCAGACUCCUACGGGAGGCAGCAGUGGGGAAUAUUGCACAAUGGGCGGAAGCCUGAUGCAGCAACGCCGCGUGCGGGAUGACGGCCUUCGGGUUGUAAACCGCUUUCGCAUGUGACGAAGCGUGAGUGACGGUAAUGGGUAAAGAAGCACCGGCUAACUACGUG
rnacentral:rRNA from 1 species